rnacentral:rRNA from 1 species
AUUGAACGCUGGCGGCAUGCCUUACACAUGCAAGUCGAACGGUAACAGGGAGCUUGCUCCGCUGACGAGUGGCGAACGGGUGAGUAAUAUAUCGGAACAUACCCUAGAGUGGGGGAUAACGUAGCGAAAGUUACGCUAAUACCGCAUACGAUCUACGGAUGAAAGUGGGGGAUCGCAAGACCUCAUGCUCGUGGAGCGGCCGAUAUCUGAUUAGCUAGUUGGUAGGUAAAAGCCUACCAAGGCAUCGAUCAGUAGCUGGUCUGAGAGGACGACCAGCCACACUGGAACUGAGACACGGUCCAGACUCCUACGGGAGGCAGCAGUGGGGAAUUUGGACAAUGGGCGCAAGCCUGAUCCAGCAAUGCCGCGUGAGUGAAGAAGGCCU